GAUUUAUUAACUAUAUAAGUAUGUGUUUUGAAAAUACAAAAAAGAGUUUUCUCUAUAAAUCUU
rnacentral:tRNA from 1 species